UAAAGCGUGCGCAGGCGGUUUUGUAAGACUGUCGUGAAAUCCCCGGGCUCAACCUGGGAAUGGCGAUGGUGACUGCAAGGCUAGAGUUUGGCAGAGGGGGUAGAAUUCCACGUGUAGCAGUGAAAUGCGUAGAUAUGUGGAGGAACACCGAUGGCGAAGGCAGCCCCCUGGGUCAAAACUGACGCUCAUGCACGAAAGCGUGGGGAGCAAACAGGAUUAGAUACCCUGGU
rnacentral:rRNA from 1 species